UACGAAGGGGGCUAGCGUUGCUCGGAAUUACUGGGCGUAAAGGGCGCGUAGGCGGCCCACUAAGUCAGACGUGAAAUCCCCCGGCUUAACCUGGGAACUGCGUCUGAUACUGGAGGGCUUGAGUAUGGGAGAGGGAUGUAGAAUUCCAGGUGUAGCGGUGAAAUGCGUAGAUAUCUGGAGGAAUACCGGUGGCGAAGGCGGCAUCCUGGACCAUUACUGACGCUGAGGCGCGAAAGCUAGGGGAGCAAACGGG
rnacentral:rRNA from 1 species